CUUCUGCGCCUCACAAUC
rnacentral:rRNA from 1 species